rnacentral:lncRNA from 1 species
CUCUGUUUCUCUCCUUACCCAUAUCUACCGUUCUCCCCGCCUGCAUCUCCCCAUCUCCCUUGCUAUUGCCGAGUCUCUGGCUUUCCCUCUCUGCCUUGCUGUGUAUUUCUGUGUCCCACCUGCCGUAUCUUCCCACACCUCUUUGUCUCUGUGACUCCUCUCUGUUCGUCUCUCUGCCUUGGUUUCUGUGUGGCCUUCCUCAUCUUCACUUUCUUUGGCCUUCUGUAUGCCUCUCUGUCUCUGUUCUCUCUGUCUCUGUUUCUCUGUCUCCCUCUCUCUGGGCCCCGCCUUGCCCAACUCUCCCAGUCGAGGAGCGCAACUUUGCUGAGUUCAACUUCAUCAACGAGCAGAACUUGGAGCUGGAGCAUGUGCAGGAAGAGAUCAAGGAGAUGCAGGAGGCUUUGGUGAGCGCACGUGCCAGCAAGGAUGACCAGCAUUUGCUGCAGGAGCAGCAGCAGAAGGUGUUGCAGCAGCGCAUGGACAAGGUGCACUCGGAGGCUGAGCGCCUUGAGGCCCGCUUCCAGGAUGUGCGGGGACAGCUGGAGAAGCUCAAGGCUGGCUGGAGUGCAAUGGCAUGAUCUCGGCUCACUGCAACCUCCGCUUCCUGGGUUCAAGCGAUUCUCCUGCCUCAGCCUCUCCAGUAGCUGGGACUACAGAUAUCCAGCUCCUCUUCACCAAGGCCCAUUGCGACAGCAGCAUGAUCGAUGACCUCCUUGGGGUCAAGACCAGCAUGGGAGACCGGGACAUGGGCCUCUUCCUGAGCCUCAUUGAGAAGCGGCUGGUGGAGCUCCUGACAGUGCAGGCCUUCCUACAUGCCCAGAGCUUCACCUCCCUGGCCGACGCUGCCCUCCUAGUGCUGGGCCAGAGCCUGGAGGACCUUCCGAAGAAGAUGGCCCCACUUCAGCCCCCUGACACUCUGUGAGGCGCAGGGCAGGAGAGAAGACCCCCCGGGUUUUGAGGCCAGCGAUGACUACCCCAUGAGCAGGGAGGAGCUGCUGAGCCAAGUGGAGAAGCUGGUGGAGCUCCAGGAGCAGGCGGAGGCGCAGCGCCAGAAGGACCUGGCCGCCGCCGCCGCGAAGCUGGACGGCACCCUGAGCGUGGACCUGGCCAGCACCCAGAGGGCCGGCUCCAGUACCGUCCUGGUGCCCACCAGGCACCCCCAUGCCAUCCCCGGGUCCAUUUUGAGCCACAAGACUAGCAGAGACCGUGGCUCUCUUGGCCACGUCACUUUUGGCGGCCUCAGCUCCAGCACUGGGCAUUUGCCCAGCCACAUCACGCACGGUGACCCCAACACUGGCCACGUGACCUUCGGCUCCACCAGUGCCUCGAGUGGGGGCCACGUGACCUUCAGACCCGUCAGCGCCAGCAGCUACCUGGGCUCCACUGGAUACGUGGGGUCCAGCAGGGGCGGAGAAAACACAGAGGGUGGUGUGGAGAGCGGAGGCACAGCGUCUGAUUCGAGCGGAGGCCUCGGGUCCAGCAGAGACCACGUCUCCAGCACCGGCCCUGCCUCCAGCACUGGCCCGGGCUCCUCCACCAGCAAAGACUCCCGGGGCUAACACGAGGGGCACGCAGCCCCCACCCUGCCCUGGCUCUCUGUGGGGUCUUUUUUUGUGUCUCUACUUCCCCUGUUUGCCUUGUGGGUCUCUGUCUUUUUCUCCCAGUGGCAGGCCUCUGUCUUUUUGCCCCUUCAACUGUUUUCAUCUGCCCUUCAUCACCGCCUCACCUGUGUCUCCCGGUUCCUUUCUCUCUGCUCCUGACACUGCUUUUCCCUCUGACUCCUGAUCUCCUGUUCUCUGGGCUUCCUGGUCAGUGUCUGUCCGUCUUGUCUCCAUAUCUGCCCCUUCCCUGUCUGCUGAGCCCUGGCCCCCUGUGGAUCCCCCACCUCCUGUUUCCGGCUCUCUCUCCUCAUCUCCAUCUCCCAGGCUCUCCACGCAUCCUGUGUCCCUGUCUCUGUAGCUCCUUACUCCCCAAGAGCCCCCCAGUGCUGACAGGUGUGGGAAAAGUCAGGGCGAAGACGCCAGGUUCAGCAUGGGAAAAUGGGACUGUGGAAAUAAAGUAUAUGUGUGGA